AUGUAACCGGACCAGUCCUUUGCCGUAAAAAGCAACGGAUUGGAAAGGGAGAUAUCAUAUACCCUGUGUUUAUUUACCUUUGUUGCUUUGGCGGGCCGUCCUUUUAGGCGUCGGCCCCGGCUGAUCGCGCCCGCCAGAGGACCCAAACUCUAAUGUUUCUUAUUGUAACUUCUGAGUAAAACAAACAAAUAAAUCA
rnacentral:misc_RNA from 1 species